rnacentral:rRNA from 1 species
AACAAGGCCUUCGAUUCACUUUUCAUGCUCGUGUCUUUGGUGAUAUGGAAUGAGAGAAAUGCUAGAGUAUUUCGUAAAUUUGCUUCUUUGCCAUUGUUUGUAUUUGACAACAUCAAGAGAGAGGCUAGGUUGUGGUGUAUCGCUGGGGCAAAACAUUUAGGAGCGAAUAUCCUGGGGGAGUAA